UACGAAGGGGGCUAGCGUUGUUCGGAAUUACUGGGCGUAAAGCGCGCGUAGGCGGUUUGAUAAGUCGAUUGUGAAAUCCCCGGGCUCAACCUGGGAAUUGCAGUCGAGACUGUCAGACUAGAGUGUGGGAGAGGGUGGUGGAAUUCCCGGUGUAGCGGUGAAAUGCGUAGAUAUCGGGAGGAACAUCAGUGGCGAAGGCGACCGCCUGGCCCAACACUGACGCUGAGGUGCGAAAGCGUGGGUAGCAAACAGG
rnacentral:rRNA from 1 species